ensembl:lncRNA
UCUCAAAUCCUCACACCAUUCAUCUUUUAGAGUAGAAAUGACUGACUGAACUUGUGUUGUUGUAAUAUUGGAGGAAAGUUGCUACAUCCUUGCCUCUGACAUUGAGAGACUUGUUUGUGUUUGUGUUAAUAAAAAGUCAUAUUUUCACAACUUCUGCAGCUGUGAAGCCAGUUCUAUAUCCAAGCUUAGACAACUGGGAUACUGAAAGCUCAGGUUCCUAAAGGCCCAUGUUUAAAGUUAAAGUUAAAGACUGGCCAUUUUCCCAUCUUCCUGUACUCCGGAAGGGCCCCGAUGCUCUUUGCCAUGUCACAAGUCAGCUACGCAGCAAACACAUUCUUUCCCACAGUGAGAUGUCAUUAUCAUCCCUGAGGGGAGAGAUUUUAAAGGCCACUUGCUAUGUGUGUGUUUGAUUGAUUCUGGACUGGUGGAUUUUGUCACGUACACACCCAAGCAUCAAAAGAUUUGGCAGCCUCCCUGUCCUUUAAAUAGGAAAAUCUUGGAGGAGGCGAUGUCUUGGAUCUCCACAAGUCCUUAAGGCUAUUUUAUUGCUAAAAGUACAUUUUAUUUCCAACUACAACUCAGCAGAAGGGUCAUUGUGCCCAUCUUUAGUGCACAAGCAUAAAUGACAGCAAUGAUUGUUCAUGGGAACAUUAUAAUAAUAACAUUACACACAGACUUUAUGUUCAGAGCAGCCAACAACAGCACUCAACACAUGAGGAUGAUUAUAGUGGGUUCUGCUCCUAAAGGACAACUGAAACAAAUUAAAUGCUUUUCUCUAAAAUAUUAAUCGAAAGAACCUUCUCAUAACCCUCUGAAAAAAACAUCUUAAACCAACCUGAGUUGAUUUUUGGUCUUAUUUCGCCUUUCUGCCUUGUAAUGCUGGUCUGUUGGCUGGUUUCAGAAGAGUUUGGGCACUUUUCAGGCGGUCAGGCUGAGAGAUAAAUCCAUACUUAAAAUAUUCUCAAGACUGGAAUCCAUCCAGUUUGAGGAUAUGAAACUUUUUUGAUAUUUUGAGCCG